rnacentral:hammerhead_ribozyme from 1 species
GCACUGCUGACGAGUCCCAAACAGGGCGAAACAACUGUCCAGUGC